rfam:Schistosoma mattheei strain Denwood, Zambia genome assembly, scaffold: SMTD_scaffold0000561
AUCCAGUUGACGAGUCCCAAAUAGGACGAAACGCGCGUUCUGGAU